AAAGGUACAGGGUUAUUUUUCUGUUUCUGGGAAAGACCCUUUGUGGGCAGCAUGGGGAUGGGAAAAAUGAAGAUUUUCCGCAUCCACCGUCUGCUGAACACCAUUGAACUGCAUUUCAGGAACUCAUGCUGCUCUCUGGAUUCAGCAACAGUAAUGGGAAAUCUAGCGAUGUCAAUCCAGGAUUACUAAAUUGGAAGGCUGGAGAAUGGCUGUGAACAUAGCAUAUCUGGAUUUUAUCAAAAACUAACAGAAUCUCCCAUGAUUUCAUUACAGAUAAGAAAUAUAUAGAUAGAUAAGGUGAAAUGUUGGUUACAUCAUUGAAGUGUUCUGUUUCUUCCCAGUUGGUGGAAGGAACAUAUUUUACAGCUGAUGAUUAGAAGCUUGAUGAAAAUCUACAGGAACAUUUUGCAAGAAGAGUUAGACUUUGGUUUUAAACAUUUCCACAACAACUUUUAGCCAUUUGGAUGAAGCCAGAAGGCAAAGCUGCCAUGUCUGUUCAGCAGAGGAGGCUGAGGGGAAAUGACAGAUGGAAAGUCACAUCAGGACUCAAGAUAAUCUCAUGGGAUCAUCAUGGCUUUUUUAUGGCUUCUAAAUUAUGUAUCAAAACAAAUGUAAUAGGUAAACGUCACCUAUACCUGGGUUGGAAAAGGCUGCUCUAUCAGUAGGAAGCAUAGGGAAGACCUGAACUGGUUUUAAGUGAUGACAAGUUCAGUAUAAGCAGUGGGAAGCUGCCGCAGUAGGAAGACAGUGUAAUCCGAG
rnacentral:lncRNA from 10 species